rnacentral:rRNA from 1 species
GACGAACCGUGCGAACGUUAUUCGGAAUCACUGGGCUUAAAGCGCGUGUAGGCGGGCCGGCACGUCGGUCGCUGAAAUCCCCCGGCUCAACCGGGGAAGGGCGCCGAUACGACCGGCCUGGAGGGGGGUAGGGGGAGCCGGAACUCACGGUGGAGCGGUGAAAUGCGUUGAGAUCGUGAGGAACGCCCGUGGCGAAAGCGGGCUCCUGGACCCCACCUGACGCUGAGACGCGAAAGCCAGGGGAGCGAACGGG